GGAGGAAGAGGGGGAGAAAAGAAAACGGAGGAGGGAAAUGAAAGAGUGUAAAGGAGAGAGGAGAAGUUAACACCGAGAUGAGGAAAGUGAGGAAGAUGGAGGGGAAACGGAGGGGUGGUUUGAUGGAAAGGUGGCAGACUAAGAAUAGGUAGAACAACAGAAAACAGGAUGAGAGUGUAGGAGAAAAGAAAGGAGGUGAUUGAAGAGGGAAGACAGAAGUUGAGUCCACAGUCAGUAGUCCUGCCGCAACCACAGGAAACUCAGUUGGCUGCCCAACAAAUCAGCUUCCUCUGUGUGUGUGUGUGUGUGGUGGAGGUCUGGGCGUGGUCCCUCCAGCAGCAGGGAGACAAACACUCAAACACCCUCUCCCGGCCUCCUCCUCCCUGGGACUGGCUUGGGGCACUUUCCUCUCCGGUGGCUAUCAUUCAACAGACUGUCUGCACGACUCUGUCUCGCUAUGUCUCUGCGCCUUAUCUAAACUUUCUCUCUUUUUUCUUUUUUUUUUUUCAACCUAAGUCAUCAUACCAGACUCCCGUUUGUGUAACCCAGUCACACCAGUGGGGAUUUCAUCUAAAACCCUGUGGUGUCCAGCAGUGGCCACAGUGGGCAGCACCUGCACUGAUCCCAUUUGGACCACAAAACCACUUUAAUAAACUUUUUAUCCACUCAGCGUCUAGAUUUACCCCAGGAACAAGUGCGAGCUCAGUGUUCUAAUGUCCGCAAGAGGGACUUACUAUUGCAGGUAGAGACUGAUGAGGUACAACGUGCCUCACAAGGGAGAGGUUAACCAUUUAUCUGAGCUACAGAGAGGUGAGCUAAAGAAAGUAAUUGGACAGAUUUCUGUGUUUCCAAAACUAAGAGAUUAUUGUGUUACAGCAGCACAGUUUCGGACACUUUACAAGAAAAGAUUAGGUGAAAGCAAAAUAUACAUGUCAAGUAAAUUAACCCUCAAGCUUCAUAACACUAGUGACAUCAAAUAAUCAAACUGGUAUUUAAAGGGUUAACAUCCUAAAUCCUCUAAAAGUUUGAAUGUUUGGUAGAAAAAACAUUUAACAAUAUUAAUCUGUCAUGUUUUUAUAACAGUUGUUUGGAAGUGGACAUUUUUGUCCUUAAUGACUUUAGAUGGUAUUAAAUUAAACUGAGGCCUGAGGGUUAAAUAAGAUGUUAAAAAAGAUAUAGACCAGUGGGUUUUAAUACUUUUUAUACCAAGUACCACCUGAGAAGAUAUUGAUCUCUCAAUGUAAGACUAUUAUCACCAACGUUAAAAUACAGUGGUGUAAGUAGGCAGAGCAAAGUCAGAUACGGACUUUUCACAGGAGGCAGAUUUAUUCCCGCUAAGAUAAUUUACAUGUACCACAGUUUGAGAACCAUGAAUAUAUGCAGCUGUAAAGAGAGGAAAGAGUAAUUAGAAAAUGUAAUUUAACCAGAUAAACGAACAAAAUCAGCAACAAUAAGUACUCGCUGCAUUUUAGCAGCUGCAUAAAGUAAAAAUUCAAACUUAAAUUUAUGAUAAACGGACAUCAGACAUCAAAGCUGGUCUCAGGUGAUAAACCUGAGACACCUGCCCGGCAACAGCGCGAUGACAUCAUCGCUGUUGGCCUGCUUAUGUUAGUGUUAAUCUCACCACACUAUAUUCUUUUUUCUUUUUUUCCCCUCGCAGAGCCAAUCACAUGACUGUGGACGACAACACUCCCUUGUUUGUACCGAUGCAAUUAUACGAGUUUGGGAGAAAAUUGAAGUCACAGGCAACAAUUUGGCUGAACCACAGCCCCACUUUGUUGACACACGAGUAAACUGCAUACAAACCAGCUGUUAUAGAAGCUGACUGAGGAAAUUGUCCGUGGGACACCGACUGACCCAGCCACACCAUUUACGAGAUGACUCGCUGCUGGGACUUCCUCUGAAGUGCUGAUGGGUCACACGCAUGACGACCAGGUUAACAAGCCGGCAGGUUCGGCAGAGGUUGGGAUGGAGGGUCAUGGUCAAAGGUCGGGAUAACCGGGAAAUCCCUGAGCUGGGUGCAGUGACACUCCUCCUCCUGUGGGACGAUUCACUCACAGUCUGCUUUGAUGUGCAGCUCCACUGGAGCACAUUUUCUUCAACAGGUGACAGAAGAUUGUGGUAACUUAUGGCGCUUUGCCACUAUACAGUUAUAGCACAACUCAGCUCAGCUUGACUCAAAUCUACUCAUUUUUUGUGCUUUUCCGUUAGCAAUAGUAGCUGGUUCCUGGUGCUUUUUAUAGUACCUGCUCUGGUGAGGUUUCAAGCGAGCUGAGCUGAUACUAAAAUGUGAUGUAGUCAGACUGCCGAGUACUGAUUGCUCAGAGAGUGUCGUCACUGGAAGAGUCAUGAGUGCAACGACCUACACAAAAACCAAACCGAACAAUGCCGAAUUGUAGAUCAGUUAAGAAGACUUAAAAAUCCAGAAGACAUGUUAAUCUGCAAAAUUUCACAAAAAAGUAUCAAUAUUUAACAGAGGAGUCUGGAGUCUGGUGUAUUUAGCGACAACACUGCUGAAAGCUGGCCAUCGUGAGCUGAAUCACAACCAUAUUUUAAUUCAGUGACUUUCAGACAGAGUCUGUGCUCCGGUAAUGCAGGAAGUACUGAACUAAUCUUUUUUAAUUUACUGAUUCUAGUGAUUCAGUACAACGAAAAUAACUGCUUUGCACUACACUACAGCAGCACCAAUUUGUCGUUAAUCUCCCCUUAAUUUCUCCCUUUAAUCUACUUUGAAAACUUUAUUUUCUUCUCCUUUUUUUUUAAAGGAAAAGCAACAGUUGAAUUGACUUUUUAAAGCCUGUCACACCGUGGUGGCAUCUUCCUCUGUUUAAAUCACAGUCAUGGCUGUAAAUGCCUGACACAACUCUUUGAUCACUGAGGAAAAAUGAGAGAGAGAGACAGAGAGGAUGUCUGAGUGUGACUGGUGAGGUGCAGCCCAGGUGUUACAGGUCAUCUUUUUCCAACUGGACACACAAGGUGAAUUAAGCCUUUCAAAUAACACAGGGGGACUCAAGGAGUUACCAUAGCAGCAAACCAAUCAUUAUAAUAAACAUGUCAAAUUUAAUGUUUUGAAAAAUACACACACACACACAAACACAUUGUCUCAUAUGUAGUGGGGGUAAAAAAAAAAAGCUGAUAGGUCUUCAGCAGAUACAUGUCGCCUCAUCCUGCUCUUUGAUUAACACAGACACUUCCCUUUAGCAUAGGACUGACAAACACACACACACACACACACACACAUACACACUGUGCUGGUUUUGUUUCUUUGUGUGGACACUCAUAGUAACCUUAACCAGUACAACUAACUCUUAUCCUAACCUAAUGGCACUUUUCCACUACACAGUUCCGGCACGGCAUGACUCAUUUCCGUUAGAGAUAGUACCAGGUACCUGGUUCUUUUUUAGUACCUGCUCUGGCGAGGUUCCAAGUGAGCUGAGACUUAAAAAUCCUGAAAACAUGCGUUAAUCUCCAACAUUUAGCAAAGGACAUUUCUAAAAUCUCAGGAGUCUGGUGUAUUUAGCGACAGCACUGCAGAAAGCCUGCGAUCGCGAGCUGAAUCACAACCUGUUCCGCCGUAUUUCAAUAAUCUUUUUAAUUAAGUGAUUCUAAUAAUUCAGUUACACCGAAAACAACUGCUUUACAAGUCACUAGUUUGUGUGUGUCGCAUGUAAAACCAAGCCACAGCAGUUUCAUGCAGCCAUGCAAUGAUGAUUCAGCCCGCAUUGAGGAGGGACUAAAGUAAUGGAAAACCAUG